GUGUGCAACCUACCUUUAUCUGGGGGAUAGCCUUUCGAAAGGAAGAUUAAUACCCCAUAAUAUAUUGAGUGGCAUCACUUAAUAUUGAAAACUCCGGUGGAUAGAGAUGGGCACGCGCAAGAUUAGAUAGUUGGUGAGGUAACGGCUCACCAAGUCAAUGAUCUUUAGGGGGCCUGAGAGGGUGAUCCCCCACACUGGUACUGAGACACGGACCAGACUCCUACGGGAGGCAGCAGUGAGGAAUAUUGGACAAUGGGUGAGAGCCUGAUCCAGCCAUCCCGCGUGAAGGAUGACGGCCCUACGGGUUGUAAACUUCUUUUAUAUAGGAAUAAACCUAGAUACGUGUAUCUAGCUGAAGGUACUAUAUGAAUAAGCACCGGCUAACUCCGUGCCAGCAGCCGCGGUAAUACGGAGGGUGCGAGCGUUAUCCGGAUUUAUUGGGUUUAAAGGGUCCGUAGGCGGACCUGUAAGUCAGUGGUGAAAUCUCAUAGCUUAACUAUGAAACUGCCAUUGAUACUGCAGGUCUUGAGUGAAUUUGAGGUAGCUGGAAUAAGUAGUGUAGCGGUGAAAUGCAUAGAUAUUACUUAGAACACCAAUUGCGAAGGCAGGUUACCAAGAUUCAACUGACGCUGAGGGACGAAAGCGUGGGGAGCGAACAGGAUUAGAUACCCUGGUAGUCCACGCUGUAAACGAUGCUAACUCGUUUUUGGGCUUUCGGGCUCAGAGACCAAGCGAAAGUGAUAAGUUAGCCACCUGGGGAGUACGUUCGCAAGAAUGAAACUC
rnacentral:rRNA from 1 species